CACAUCCAACAACAAUGUCAGAUUCACGAGAACUCACGAGAGAGACGCGAAAUGAACGAGGCACAACACGAGAGCGUGUUUUCCCGGUUCAGAUUCAGGAUUUCACGUUGGAGAAUAAAAGAUUUGCGUUAGAGGCUUGAAGCCCGUGUAGGCCCUCACGUGCACGAAGGGAGCGAACGAUCCAGAAACACUGGAGGGAGGAGAAGCACCGAGCAGAGCCGAACACCUCAACACCACCGAUUCACCACCACACACGAACCCGACGACACAAAGAGGAGCAGAGGUUCCUCCUCAGGAGAAUUGAGGAGAAAACAUGCACCGUGCGCGCGUGUGUGAGUGUGCGCGCUGCAGGGCUGGAGCCAUGAUGGAUGAAAACGCGUCUGCUGGUUGCAGCCGAGGAUGGAGACGAUGGAGACGUGUUUUUGAAGAAGCGGCUGCAGGUUGCGGCUGUGCGCGCCGACACAUUGAUAUCUCCAUACAUGUAACGCGCGCAGGCCCAACCUCUCCCACCUCACGCACAAAACGCACCGAGCGAAGGGAUCACGGAGGAUUUCACGACGCGCCGCUUCUCCCCCCGGUGUCCUGCUCGCGCUCCGGUCCCCGGGUCGCCGUGUUUUCGGCGGAUGAGGAUGAAAUGUGCGGGUUUCUCACCUGAGCGCAGACGGCGGUGUUGUCUCUUCGGCGGCGGUCGGUUCACCGGGCGCGCUCAGCGUCUGGACGCAGUGGCGGCGGCUGACCGGAGCGAGGCGCUGCGGGGCGGAGAGAUGACGACGCGCUGUGUCCAGAAACCAGAGAGAAACAUGGAGGAGACAGAGUUUCUAUUGUUUUACACGAACCACCGCACACACUCAUUAUAUAAACACGUGUUAGAUAAUCACGUUCAUUCACGUUUCAAUUAUCACUAAUUGAUUUUAAAAACAAGUGAAUUCCAAAUACAGACCUAAUGGUUGUUGUGUCACUAUGUGAAGUUAUAAAUAUAAUAUAUAAUUAAUGAGCUCA